UGCCGGUAGCACACCCGCACAUCUACAAUGGUGGAAGAUCUAUGGGCUUAAUAUUUUUAGAAAGAUUAGAUUUAGGUCUCAUCUAAUCAGUCAUCAUAUGAUCAAUCUAACUAGCAUGGGCUAAACCAGAUUGCUAAGCAACCUAAUUCAAGACCCAAUCUUUCAAAUUAACCAGAUAAGUGGAGAUCGAUAGGGAUCCCCCCAUUGCCUUCUUAAGACAUCAAUAAAUUGA
rnacentral:lncRNA from 1 species